rnacentral:tRNA from 1 species
GUCUCCGUAGCUCAAUUGGAUAGAGCAACUGCCUUCUAAGCAGUAGGUUACGUGUUCAACUCACGUCGGAGACG